CGCUGACCUAAUAAAGCCGAUGUACACGAGGCUGAGACAAGCAAUCAGAAUUGGACACGUGUCGGUGUGGUGAUUGUUGGCAUGUAGGUGAACUUUCUGCAGGUCCAGCUUGGAUAGGGACCGUUUGGUUGGUGACCCAGCACUCGAAGGGCUCUAAUAUGACAUACACAACGACAUCCUUAGAGCCGAGCAUAACGACGGGGCCUAUAAAUCAGAGAGCGACAAAUUGCGACAAAGGGAAUGGCAAGAAGACGGAGUCUUCGAAAAAUAGGGACAAGGUCAAAUACUACGACGCAAUGGACCGACGAAAGGCGUCGAGUUUUUCAGCAACACUCAACGGGAAGUUCUCGAUUUUCAAAAUUCUCAAUGUGUACAAAUCGAAGAUGAAUGCUCGAGAAUCGGCAGUGCACAAUUCACUGCUCGAGGAAGUCAUGAAGCAUCGAGGAUUGAUGUAAUUCUAUUUUAAUUAAUGUAAUAUUUUUAAUAAUUACAAUUUUGUUUUAAUUAUUGUAUUUUAUUUUAAUUAAUGUAAUGUUGAAAUUUUAAUGAAAUGUUGGAUUUUACAA